UGGCAAUGAUGAGAUUCUACUUCAGGUCCGUGUUUCUGAACCCAGUGAUUGUAGUGGAAGUUCUGAGUAC